CACGUAGGGUGCGAGCGUUGUCCGGAAUUAUUGGGCGUAAAGAGCUCGUAGGCGGUGUGUCGCGCCGGCCGUGAAAACCUGCAGCUUAACUGUGGGCUUGCGGUCGAUACGGGCAUCACUGGAGUUCGGCAGGGGAGACUGGAAUUCCUGGUGUAGCGGUGAAAUGCGCAGAUAUCAGGAGGAACACCGGUGGCGAAGGCGGGUCUCUGGGACGUUAC
rnacentral:rRNA from 1 species